CCGAAAGCUAUUUAGGUAGCGCCUCGUGAAUUCAUCUCCGGGGGUAGAGCACUGUUUCGGCUAGGGGGCCAUCCCGGCUUACCAACCCGAUGCAAACUGCGAAUACCGGAGAAUGUUAUCACGGGAGACACACGGCGGGUGCUAACGUCCGUCGUGAAGAGGGAAACAACCCAGACCGCCAGCUAAGGUCCCAAAGUCAUGGUUAAGUGGGAAACGAUGUGGGAAGGCCCAGACAGCCAGGAUGUUGGCUUAGAAGCAGCCAUCAUUUAAAGAAAGCGUAAUAGCUCACUGGUCGAGUCGGCCUGCGCGGAAGAUGUAACGGGGCUAAACCAUGCACCGAAGCUGCGGCAGCGAACGUAUCACCCAAGACAACUUUACGGAGUUGACGAUUGACGGAGCGAAGCGACGUCAAAGCGUUCAUUAAAGUCGAGUUGGCUUAGGGAUACGUUCGUUGGGUAGGGGAGCGUUCUGUAAGCCUGUGAAGGUGUGUCGUGAGGCAUGCUGGAGGUAUCAGAAGUGCGAAUGCUGACAUAAGUAACGAUAAAGCGGGUGAAAAGCCCGCUCGCCGGAAGACCAAGGGUUCCUGUCCAACGUUAAUCGGGGCAGGGUGAGUCGACCCCUAAGGCGAGGCCGAAAGGCGUAGUCGAUGGGAAACGGGUUAAUAUUCCCGUACUUGGUGUUACUGCGAAGGGGGGACGGAGAAGGCUAUGUUGGCCGGGCGACGGUUGUCCCGGUUUAAGCGUGUAGGUGUGUGUUCCAGGUAAAUCCGGUUCACUUUAACACUGAGGCGUGACGACGAGGCACUACGGUGCUGAAGCAACAAAUGCCCUGCUUCCAGGAAAA
rnacentral:rRNA from 1 species